CGGCCGGGGCUAGAGGGGAGCCCGCAGCCCCUGCUCCUCCCCUUCGGCGGCCGCCGCUCGGACCCCUGGAUGCGAGACCCAGAGGCGCCUCCAUUGGCCAGGCUGACGGGAGGGCAGCGAAAAACGGGUCCGCUCCAGCCGGCGACACUGAGAGGAUGAAUGAUUGGGGGGCGGCAGGUGCCACCAGCCCUACCCCCGCCUCGCUGACCGCUGGAAUAUGAGCUCUAUCUGUAUCUCAGAAAGCUUUCAGAUGUCAUGUGCAUGGUACUGGAUAUAUGGUUAGAGAGCCUGGUAUAGGUUAAUCAGCAAAAUGUCUUGUUGAUUCACCUCCAGCAGUCUGGACUUUGUAGUUAAAGCUGGGGAGAGCCUUUCAUUACUGGGAAGAUGACAGGAGGGGAAGCUGCUUCUGGCAAAGACACAUAAUGAAGUUAACUCCGAUUCAUCGAGCUCAUCUUACUGGUAAGGGGAGGCACUGGAAAAGUAAUUAUUAAGAGACAGAGCUAAGAACAUCAGUGAGCUCAGCCAGUAUGCUUUUCAGCCUUUGUGAUUUUAUUAGAUAUAUGGAUGAGGUCACCUCUUGAAACAGCAGAGAGGAAGAGAAAGAAGAUGCUUAUUGCCUAACAUCAUGCUGCUGAAGAAAUCACAGAGC